UACGUAGGGGGCUAGCGUUGUUCGGAAUCACUGGGCGUAAAGGGCGCGUAGGCGGCUUUAUAAGUCGGGGGUGAAAGCCUGUGGCUCAACCACAGAAUUGCCUUCGAUACUGUAGAGCUUGAGACCGGAAGAGGUAAGUGGAACUGCGAGUGUAGAGGUGAAAUUCGUAGAUAUUCGGAGGAAUACCAGUGGCGAAGGCGGCUCACUGGUCCAUUACUGACGCUGAGGUGCGAAAGCGUGGGGAGCAAACAGG
rnacentral:rRNA from 1 species